GACUAACGCUGGCGGCGUGCCUAACACAUGCAAGUCGAACGAGUAGCAAUACUAGUGGCAGACGGGUGAGUAACGCGUAGGUAAUGUGCCUUCUUACUGGGGAUACCGUUCCGAAAGGAGCGUUAAUACCGAAUGUGACGGAGACGGGGCAUCCCGUUUUCGUUAAACUGUUAGGGUGAGAAGAGCAGCCUGCGUUCUAUCAGCUUGUUGGUGGGGUAACGGCCUACCAAGGCUACGACGGAUAGCCGGUCUGAGAGGAUGAUCGGCCACACUGGGACUGAGACACGGCCCAGACUCCUACGGGAGGCAGCAGUGAGGAAUAUUGCGCAAUGGGCGAAAGCCUGACGCAGCGACGCCGCGUGAGGGAUGAAGGCCUUCGGGUUGUAAACCUCUGUCAGUGGGGAAGAGAACGGACGGUACCCACUGAGGAAGCUUCGGCUAACUACGUG
rnacentral:rRNA from 1 species